UUUUCUUCAACUUUUCUUGUUAUUUACAAGUUAGAGCCAAGAGAGCUUUCUUCAGUCCACUCAUGGGUGGCAAUAGGAUUUAAUUAGCUGCCGACUCAUUCAUCCAAAUACUGAGUUUAAGGAUCAACAAAAAUACCCAGUAAAUGAGUGAAUGAUGCGGGAGACAAAUUGAAUCUUAGGCUUCCUGUACUUGGACUGAAGGGAGCUCCCUUUGCUUUUAAUCUUAUCCAUAACUCUUUUACAUAUCUUUAGAUCUUUAAUUUUUAUUACUAUAUAUAUACAUAUUUUUCUUUACAAAUAACGCACACUAAGCUAAUUAAAGAUUAAUAUGCAUUAUGGUUAUCAUAUGCAAGUUAUUCUUUCCAAAUUUAAAGCACUUGGGACGCUGAGGUAAUGACAACUACAGAGAUAACCCUUAUUCUUCAAGACUACUUAUCCUUAACUUUGUGGUAUUAGAUUUCUAUACAUGUUCUUGUUUGUUUGGUGACCUGCUCAAGUUAUGCAUGUUUUUGGAUUUAUAUUAUUUUUCUCAUGGUUUGCUAUUUCUGUAGAGUUGAGAGAAUAUCAGAAUACCCAGCAGAUUUAACUAGGGUUGAGUGAGUGGUUUGGUGCUUAAAACUUUGAAAGUGCAGCAGGGUGGGUUUAGGGUUUCAUCAAAGGCAAAGCCGCAGUUAUUGUUAAAGGAUUGUUCUCUCAAAAAGGCAGCGCAUGAGGGAGGGAUAAGUUUGCAAGCAAGCUCACGCUCUACGACAACAUCGUCUUGGGUUUUGCUCUCUUAGUGUAACAAGUUCCUAGACAUGUCUCUCAGUCUACAAUUACCGAAAUAUCCUCUCCAUCGGUGCUUGGAAAAUACUUCAUAGUCUUUUCCUCUCUUCCUUGUACUUUUAAUUUCUUCUGCCGCUUGAGCCUUGAGUUAUCCAUAUACAUAAUCUUUUAUAUAUGGACAAUGUAAUCCAGGUGUCUUGAGUCUGGAGGCGCAGAUUGUUACUUAGGUUCCCGUAAUCUUUGUAUUUCUAUUCUCUAAUACGACUCACAUAUGAUCAUGAUCUUAAAAUC